AUAGCUGGUUUGAGAGAGUGAUCAGCCACACUGGGACUGAGAUACGGCCCAGACUCCUACGGGAGGCAGCAGUGAGGAAUAUUGCGCAAUGGGCGAAAGCCUGACGCAGCAACGCCGCGUGGGGGAUGAAGUUCUAUGGAGCGUAAACCCCUGUAAGUGGGGACGAAGGAUAGAUAUUCGAAUAGGGUGUUUAUUUGACGGUACCCGCAGAGUAAGCUCCGGCUAACUCCGUGCCAGCAGCCGCGGUAAUACGGGGGGAGCAAGCGUUGUCCGGAAUUACUGGGCGUAAAGGGCGUGUAGGCGGUUUGGUAAGUCAGAUGUAAAAGGUCCCGGCUUAACCGGGGAUAGUCAUUUGAAACUGCCAGGCUUGAGUUCGAGAGAGGGUAGCGGAAUUCCCAGUGUAGCAGUGAAAUGCGUAGAUAUUGGGAAGAACACCAGUAGCGAAGGCGGCUACCUGGCUCGCAACUGACGCUAAGGCGCGAAAGCGUGGGGAGCAAACAGGAUUAGAUACCCUGGUAGUCCACGCCGUAAACGAUGAGCACUAGGUGUUGGUUGGCCGCAGGCUAAUCAGUGCCGCAGUUAACGCAUUAAGUGCUCCGCCUGGGGAGUACGAUCGCAAGGUUGAAACUCAAAGGAAUUGACGGGGGCCCGCACAAGCGGUGGAGCAUGUGGUUUAAUUCGAUUCAACGCGAAGAACCUUACCGGGGUUUGACAUCAUAGUGAAGUUUGCAGAGAUGUAAACGUUCUUCGGAACGCUAUGACAGGUGCUGCAUGGCUAUCGUCAGCUCGUGUCGUGAGAUGUUGGGUUAAGUCCCGCAACGAGCGCAACCCUUGCCCCUAGUUGCCAGCAAGUAAUGUUGGGGACUCUAGGGGGACAGUCGGCGAUAAGCCGGAGGAAGGUGGGGAUGACGUCAAGUCCUCAUGGCCCUUACAUCCCGGGCUACACACGUGCUACAAUGGCCGGUACAGCGAGUCGCGAUACCGCGAGGUGGAGCUAAUCUCUAAAAACCGGUCUCAGUUCGGAUUGCAGUCUGCAACUCGACUGCAUGAAGUCGGAAUCGCUAGUAAUCGUGGAUCAGCACGCCACGGUGAAUACGUUCCCGGGCCUUGUACACACCGCCCGUCACGCCAUGGGAGUUGGCAGUACCCGAAGCCGGUGUCCUAACCCCUUUGGGAGGGAACUGUCGAAGGUAAGGCCGAUGACUGGGGCGAAGUCGUAACAAGGUA
rnacentral:rRNA from 1 species